rnacentral:lncRNA from 1 species
CUCAUGCCAUAUCUAGAAUCCUUGUCCUCACCAAAAACCCACAAUCUCACCCCUAAGGGCCUUUCUUCAUACGACUCCCACUCUCCUAAUUCUUUUGAAAAUGAAAAACCCCAUGUUCUAGUCUCCACGCUCCCUAUCCCAAAACAAAGUCUCACACCCAAAAAUGCCCAAAACAAAAUCUUAUGCCAAAACAAAGUCCUCAUGCCCAAAAUAUAUUUUUGGUUCUCCAUGCUUCCUAUCCUUUUCUUAAAUAGGCUCACAUCAU